UACGUAGGCAGCGAGCGUUGUUCGGAGUUACUGGGCGUAAAGGGUGUGUAGGCGGUCUUUUAAGUUUGGUGUGAAAUCUCCCGCUUAACCGGGAGGGUGCGCCGAAUACUGAGGGACUAGAGUGCGGGAGAGGAAAGUGGAAUUCCUGGUGUAGCGGUGAAAUGCGCAGAUAUCAGGAGGAACACCGAUGGCGAAGGCAGCUCGCUGGGACGGUACUGACGCUGAGACGCGAAAGCGUGGGGAGCGAACAGG
rnacentral:rRNA from 1 species